rnacentral:lncRNA from 1 species
CCCAAGUGCUGGUAUGGUGUUUGUUAAGCCUGGCCUUUGUGAAGCUCCCUGGGGUCUCCCUAGAAAUGCAAGCACACAGCAGAGUGGAUGAGCGAUGUAACAAGCUGUCCCUCCGUGGGGCACGGAGAGACACAGCAGCAAGGAUAGCUCCUGUAUUCUACCAAGUUUCCUGACCAAUUUCCCGCCUCUCAAUGAAGACACUGAGUACCAGCAUCUCAAGAACAGUCAGCUACCAUUUCCUGAACUUCCUCUUCAGAUGCCCAGGUGACCACAUCCAGAUUUCCAGAGAUGCCCAAGCUGAAAGCCAGACAAGAAGGUGGAGGCUUUCCCUUUAAGAAAAGACUGAACUUGUAGGUCAUCAUUCUUGGCUGGACAUUAAUUAUUGAGUUUAUAUACAACACAUGCAUGCAGAACCCAGAGAGACCAAGAGAAGAAGAUGGAUUUCCCUGGAACUGGAAUUGCAGGCUAACAGAAAUGAGUGACAGCCUCGAGGGACUUGGAAGAUGUAGGGCAAGCUGAUUCCCAUCACAUCACAUCUGAUAAUGCUGAAGACACAUAGAUCCUGAGGAUGACCAACAGUUACCAGAAACCUAAUCAGUGGAAGGACAGCUUUUCCCAUGGACACU